rnacentral:rRNA from 1 species
UACGUAGGGUGCGAGCGUUAAUCGGAAUUACUGGGCGUAAAGCGUGCGCAGGCGGUUGGCAAAGUCAGCUGUGAAAGCCCCGGGCUUAACCUGGGAAUGGCGGUUGAAACUAGUCGACUCGAAUCUGGCAGAGGGGGGUGGAAUUCCACGUGUAGCAGUGAAAUGCGUAGAGAUGUGGAGGAGCACCGAUGGCGAAGGCAGCCCCCUGGGCUGAGAUUGACGCUCAGGCACGAAAGCGUGGGGAGCAAACAGG